rnacentral:sRNA from 1 species
GCUGGGUGUGGUGGCGCAUGCCUGUAAUCCCAGUGCUUUGGGAGGUUGGGGCAGGAGGAUCAUAAGUUUGAGUCCAGCCUUAGCAACUUAAUGAGACCUUGUCUCAA